rnacentral:rRNA from 1 species
CACCGACGAAGAUCAGCGGACGGAUAUAGGCGCUGGUGAGAUUGUUUUUGCGGAUCACGUCACGACAAGCUUCCAUUAGGGUAGCGCCUCGUGAAUUCAUCUCCGGGGGUAGAGCACUGUUUCGGCAAGGGGGUCAUCCCGACUUACCAACCCGAUGCAAACUGCGAAUACCGGAGAAUGUUAUCACGGGAGACACACGGCGGGUGCUAACGUCCGUCGUGAAGAGGGAAACAACCCAGACCGCCAGCUAAGGUCCCAAAGUCAUGGUUAAGUGGGAAACGAUGUGGGAAGGCCCAGACAGCCAGGAUGUUGGCUUAGAAGCAGCCAUCAUUUAAAGAAAGCGUAAUAGCUCACUGGUCGAGUCGGCCUGCGCGGAAGAUGUAACGGGGCUAAACCAUGCACCGAAGCUGCGGCAGCGACGCUUAUGCGUUGUUGGGUAGGGGAGCGUUCUGUAAGCCUGCGAAGGUGUGCUGUGAGGCAUGCUGGAGGUAUCAGAAGUGCGAAUGCUGACAUAAGUAACGAUAAAGCGGGUGAAAAGCCCGCUCGCCGGAAGACCAAGGGUUCCUGUCCAACGUUAAUCGGGGCAGGGUGAGUCGACCCCUAAGGCGAGGCCGAAAGGCGUAGUCGAUGGGAAACAGGUUAAUAUUCCUGUACUUGGUGUUACUGCGAAGGGGGGACGGAGAAGGCUAUGUUGGCUGGGCGACGGUUGUCCCGGUUUAAGCGUGUAGGCUGGUUUUCCAGGCAAAUCCGGAAAAUCAAGGCUGAGGCGUGAUGACGAGGCACUACGGUGCUGAAGCAACAAAUGCCCUGCUUCCAGGAAAAGCCUCUAAGCAUCAGGUAACAUCAAAUCGUACCCCAAACCGACACAGGUGGUCAGGUAGAGAAUACCAAGGCGCUUGAGAGAACUCGGGUGAAGGAACUAGGCAAAAUGGUGCCGUAACUUCGGGAGAAGGCACGCUGAUACGUAGGUGAAGCGACUUGCUCGUGGAGCUGAAAUCAGUCGAAGAUACCAGCUGGCUGCAACUGUUUAUUAAAAACACAGCACUGUGCAAACACGAAAGUGGACGUAUACGGUGUGACGCCUGCCCGGUGCCGGAAGGUUAAUUGAUGGGGUUAGCGGUAACGCGAAGCUCUUGAUCGAAGCCCCGGUAAACGGCGGCCGUAACUAUAACGGUCCUAAGGUAGCGAAAUUCCUUGUCGGGUAAGUUCCGACCUGCACGAAUGGCGUAAUGAUGGCCAGGCUGUCUCCACCCGAGACUCAGUGAAAUUGAACUCGCUGUGAAGAUGCAGUGUACCCGCGGCAAGACGGAAAGACCCCGUGAACCUUUACUAUAGCUUGACACUGAACAUUGAGCCUUGAUGUGUAGGAUAGGUGGGAGGCUUUGAAGUGUGGACGCCAGUCUGCAUGGAGCCGACCUUGAAAUACCACCCUUUAAUGUUUGAUGUUCUAACGUUGGCCCCUGAUCGGGGUUGCGGACAGUGUCUGGUGGGUAGUUUGACUGGGGCGCCCUGGAUUAGUCGGCGCGCUGCUGGUUGGCGCGACCGUGGGGCGUUCUCUGGCGUUUGCCUGGGACGUUCCGGCGAUCCCGGUACACCAUAUGGAAGGGCAUCUGUUAGCGCCGAUGCUGGAAGAUAACCCACCGGAAUUUCCGUUUGUGGCGCUGCUGGUUUCCGGCGGUCAUACGCAGUUAAUCAGCGUGACUCAAAAUGCAGACUAACCCGCAGAUCCAGCAGCGAAGAGAGGCAGCGCGUGAGCGUAUUCAGUCCGCCUCUCCUGAGCAGCGCCAGGCAGUCCGCGAGAAAAUGCAGACUAACCCGCAGAACCAGCAGCGAAGAGAGGCAGCGCGUGAGCGUAUUCAGUCUGCAACUCCCGAAC